rnacentral:rRNA from 1 species
AUUGAACGCUGGCGGCAGGCUUAACACAUGCAAGUCGAGCGGAGAUGAGGUGCUUGCACCUUAUCUUAGCGGCGGACGGGUGAGUAAUGCUUAGGAAUCUGCCAUUUAGUGGGGGACAACAUUCCGAAAGGAAUGCUAAUACCGCAUACGUCCUACGGGAGAAAGCAGGGGAUCUUCGGACCUUGCGCUAAAUGAUGAGCCUAAGUCGGAUUAGCUAGUUGGUGGGGUAAAGGCCUACCAAGGCGACGAUCUGUAGCGGGUCUGAGAGGAUGAUCCGCCACACUGGGACUGAGACACGGCCCAGACUCCUACGGGAGGCAGCAGGGGGGAAUAUUGGACAAUGGGCGGAAGCCUGAUCCAGCCAUGCCGCGUGUGUGAAGAAGGCCUUUUGGUUGUAAAGCACUUUAAGCGAGGAGGAGGCUACUAGUACUAAUACUACUGGAUAGUGGACGUUACUCGCAGAAUAAGCACCGGCUAACUCUGUGCCAGCAGCCGCGGUAACAC